rnacentral:misc_RNA from 1 species
GAUGAAGAACGUAGCGAAAUGCGAUAAGUAAUGUGAAUUGCAGAAUUCAGUGAAUCAUCGAAUCUUUGAACGCACAUUGCGCCCGUCAGUAUUCUGGCGGGCAUGCCUGUUCGAGCGUCAUUACGCCCCUCAAGUCCCCUGUGGACUUGGUGUUGGGGAUCGGCGAGGCUGGUUUUCCAGCACAGCCGGCCCUUAGAUUAAUUGGCGGUCUCGCCGUGGCCCUCCUCUGCGCAGUAGUAAAACACUCGCAACAGGAGCCCGGUGCGGUCCACUGCCGUAAAACCCCCCAACUUUUUAUAGUUGACCUCGAAUCAGGUAGGACUACCCGCUGAACUUAAGCAUAUCAAUAAGCGGAGGA